rnacentral:tRNA from 1 species
UGCACGCCGUAGCGGGCCGGCUCGCCGCCGUCGGCGCUGUCGCCGUCGGGCAGCAUGAAGUGGUUCAUCCCGCCCACGCGCAGC